rnacentral:misc_RNA from 1 species
AGUAUUUUCACAUUUCCAAUCAAGUUCCUCCAUUGAUACAGGAGUGGAGGCUCUCGGCAUAAAAACAAGAUCCAUCAAAUUUUCUAUAAUGAUAACUAAACUUUAAUGGCCAGGACUAUAAAAUAUUUCAUAAAGAAGAUGGAAGAAUUUUCUAUUCAAGUAUGAAAAUGCACAGAUUAAUCCCACUUUUUUCUCAAAUUAGGUUUCAGAAGUUGACAAUUUUUUUUUUUUUAAAA